GAUGAAGAACGUAGCGAAAUGCGAUAAGUAAUGUGAAUUGCAGAAUUCAGUGAAUCAUCGAAUCUUUGAACGCAUCUUGCGCUCCUUGGUAUUCUGAGGAGCAUGCCUGUUUGAGUGUCAUUAAAUUCUCAACUACACUGACUUUGAAUUGGUGUGGCUUGGAUUUGGGGGGAAAAUUGUUGUGGGCUUUUUGUUUAGUCUGCUCCCCUGAAAUUGAUUAGCGGUACCUUUGUGGAACUGUCUACAGGUGUGAUAAUUAUCUACAUCUUAGACAUCUGCUGGAAUGCUGCUUUCUAAACCUUACUUGUAUUGACAAUCUUGACCUCAAAUCAGGUAGGACUACCCGCUGAACUUAAGCAUAUCAAUAAGCGGAGGA
rnacentral:misc_RNA from 1 species